rnacentral:rRNA from 1 species
AUGUCCAAAUUUAGACACUCUAUCAACAAGCUGGGACUGCAUGAUAUGCCAAUGAUGGGUAGGCGGUACACUUGGUGCAAUCAACAAGAACAACCCAUUAUGGCCAGGCUGGACAGAGUGCUUUUCAACAAUGCUUGGGAAGAUUUGCUCCCCUUCAGUGAUCUUAUCCCGCUCAGUUCUAAUAUCUCGGAUCACACGCCACUGGUGCUCUCUUGUUCGACAGCUAGGCCG